UGAGGAAUAUUGGUCAAUGGGCGGAAGCCUGAACCAGCCAUGCCGCGUGAAGGACGAAGGCGUUCUGCGUUGUAAACUUCUUUUAUAAGGGAAGAAACCUACGAUUUCUAUUGUAGCCGACGGUACCUUAUGAAUAAGCACCGGCUAACUCCGUGCCAGCAGCCGCGGUAAUACGGAGGGUGCAAGCGUUAUCCGGAUUUACUGGGUUUAAAGGGUGUGUAGGCGGGCUUGUAAGUCAGGGGUGAAAUCCUACAGCUUAACUGUAGAACUGCCUUUGAUACUAUAAGUCUUGAAUAUUGUUGAGGUAGGCGGAAUACAUCAUGUAGCGGUGAAAUGCUUAGAUAUGAUGUAGAACACCGAUUGCGAAGGCAGCUUACUAAGCAAAUAUUGACGCUGAGGC
rnacentral:rRNA from 1 species